UACGGAGGGUGCAAGCGUUAUCCGGAUUCACUGGGUUUAAAGGGUGCGUAGGUGGGUUGGUAAGUCAGUGGUGAAAUCUCCGAGCUUAACUUGGGAAUUGCGCUCGAAACUACUUGGCUGGAGUGUGGCAGAGGAAGGUGGAAUUCCAGGUGUAGCGGUGAAAUGCGUAGAGAUCUGGAGGAACACCGAUGGCGAAGGCAGCCUUCUGGGCCAACACUGACGCUCAUGCACGAAAGCGUGGGGAGCAAACAGG
rnacentral:rRNA from 1 species